rnacentral:rRNA from 1 species
AUACGGAGGGUGCAAGCGUUACUCGGAAUCACUGGGCGUAAAGCGCGCGCAGGCGGCUUGAUAAGUUGGAUGUGAAAGCCUACAGCUCAACCGUAGAACUGCAUCCAAAACUGUCAAGCUAGAGUCUGGGAGGGGAAGAUGGAAUUAGUUGUGUAGGGGUAAAAUCCGUAGAGAUAACUAGGAAUACCAAAAGCGAAGGCGAUCUUCUGGAACAGUACUGACGCUGAGGCGCGAAAGCGUGGGGAGCAAACUGGAUUAGAUACCCCAGUAGUCC